UAGUGCUGCAAUGUUAACAUUGCAGAUCCAGAGAAACUGCAAUGUUUACAUUGCAGCACUA
rnacentral:miRNA from 1 species